AUGAACGCUGUCGGCGUGCCUAAUACAUGCAAGUCGAGCGAACGGACGAGAAGCUUGCUUCUCUGAUGUUAGCGGCGGACGGGUGAGUAACACGUGGAUAACCUACCUAUAAGAUUGGGAUAACUUCGGGAAACCGGAGCUAAUACCGGAUAAUAUUUUGAACCGCAUGGUUCAAAAGUGAAAGACGGUCUUGCUGUCACUUAUAGAUGGAUCCGCGCUGCAUUAGCUAGUUGGUAAGGUAACGGCUUACCAAGGCAACGAUGCAUAGCCGACCUGAGAGGGUGAUCGGCCACACUGGAACUGAGACACGGUCCAGACUCCUACGGGAAGCAGCAGUAGAGAAUCUUCCGCAGUGGGCGAAAGCCUGAAGGAGCAACGCCGCGUGAGUGAUGAAGGUCUUCGGAUAGUAAAACUCUGUUAUUAGGGAAGAACAUAUGUGUAAGUAACUGUGCACAUCUUGACGGUACCUAAUCAGAAAGCCACGGCUAACUACGUG
rnacentral:rRNA from 1 species